rnacentral:rRNA from 1 species
UGGGGAAUUUUGCACAAUGGGGGAAACCCUGAUGCAGCGACGCCGCGUGAUUUAGAAGGCCUUCGGGUUGUAAAAAUCUUUUCUAUGGGAAGAAAAUGACAGUACCAUAGGAAUAAGGACCGGCUAAUUACGUGCCAGCAGCCGCGGUAAUACGUAAGGUCCGAGCGUUGUCCGGAAUCAUUGGGCGUAAAGGGUACGUAGGCGGGUAAGCAAGUUAGAAGUGAAAUCCUAUAGCUCAACUAUAGUAAGCUUUUAAAACUGCUCAUCUUGAGGUAUGGAAGGGAAAGUGGAAUUCCUAGUGUAGCGGUGAAAUGCGCAGAUAUUAGGAGGAAUACCGGUUGCGAAGGCGACUUUCUGGCCAUAACCUGACGCGGAGGGACGAAAGCGUGGGGAGCAAACAGG